GAGAUAGCUACUGGAAACGGUAGGUAAACUCUGAUAAGCCCGAGAGGGGAAAGUGGGAGUCAGCCUUGGGAUGGACCUACUAUCCAUCAGGUAGUUGGUGAGGUAAAGGCUUACCAAGCCGAUGACGGAUAACCGGUGUGAGAGCAUGUACGGUCACAAGGGCACUGAGACACGGGCCCUACUCCUACGGGAGGCAGCAGUGGGGAAUAUUGGACAAUGGGCGAAAGCCUGAUCCAGCGACGUCGCGUGAAGGAAGAAGUCCUUCGGGAUGUAAACUUCUGAACUAAUCGAAUAAGAGGGUAGUGGACACACUACAGAAGAAGGUAGAUUAGGAAAAGUCCCGGCUAACUACGUGCCAGCAGCCGCGGUAAGACGUAGGGGGCGAGCGUUGCCCGGAAUCACUGGGUGUAAAGGGGACGUAGGCGGAUGAUCAAGUCCUCUGUGAAAAGAUUGCUCAACGAUUGGCUUGCGGAUGAAACUGGUCAUCUUGGGCGUAGCAGAGGUAGACGGAAUUACCUGAGUAGGGGUGAAAUCCGCAGAUACAGGUAAGAAGGGCCGGUGAAGAAGUUGGUCUACUGGGCUACAGCUGACGCUGAGGUCCGAAAGCCAGGGGAGCGAACCGGAUUAGAUACCCGGGUAGUCCUGGCUGUAAACGAUGCUCACUAGGUGUAGGGAGCGAAAGACUCUCUGUGCUGAAGCGAACGCGCUAAGUGAGCCACCUGGGGAGUACG
rnacentral:rRNA from 1 species